UACAGAGGUCUCAAGCGUUGUUCGGAUUCAUUGGGCGUAAAGGGUGUGUAGGUGGCGCGCUAAGUCGGGUGUGAAAUUUCGGAGCUUAACUCCGAAACUGCAUUCGAUACUGGCGUGCUUGAGGACUGGAGAGGAGACUGGAAUUUACGGUGCAGCAGUGAAAUGCGUAGAUAUCGUAAGGAAGACCAGUGGCGAAGGCGGGUCUCUGGACAGCUCCUGACACUGAGGCACGAAGGCCAGGGGAGCAAACGGG
rnacentral:rRNA from 1 species